ACCCUCCUGUAGCCAGGCCCUGGGUCUCUACCUGUGCGGCAUGGCUGCCAGUCCUGCUGGUGACCUGCCAGCGUGCUGGGCCUGUCCUUGGGGCAUGUGUCACGACCUUGUGGAGCCCUUAGUCCCUGGGAGCUGCCCUCUUGAUUGGAGGGAGGGGAAAUAAAUAAAAAGAGAAAGAAAAUAUUCCCUGGGAUGGGAGUAUUACCAUUAAGAGAAAUCUAGGCUUAGAGUUUGGAGAAUCAUCUCUUAGCUUCUUCCAAUGUUGACCUAAUGGAAAAGCCUGUGCCAGAGGUAAAUGCUCCCAGCCUAGAUGAUCUCAGGUGGCAUUGAUUGGAGACUGUCUGAAGAACUGGAGAGCAUGAAUCCAGAACUUGAGGAGACCUGAGCUGGAAAUCUGGAUCAAGUUUUCUUGGGCAGCCAGGAAUACACUGAACCAACAAUCAAACUGGCAGAAGCAAAAUGUUGCUCCAACUCAAAUUUAUGAUACCACAGAUAUAUUUGACAAGAGAUGAUGACUCCGCUGCUGCUCUGGGUAGCCUGUUCCAGUGCUUGACAACCCUUGCAGUGAAGAAAUGUCUCCUAGUAUCCAGCUAAACCUUUUUGGCCCAAUUUAAGAAAGAAGAUGAGUGGCAAAGCUGAAGACAAGACACUGAGUGAAGAGUCCUCCUGCUUUUAGUGCAAAUGAGAAGUGUCCCAUAAUCAUGGUCAACGAGACUUGCUUACAGUAACCUUGUUAUUCACUGGAUUUUCCCACCAACAGACUGUCUAGUGGUUUUCUUGCAUUUAUUUAUAUGGGGAUCUCUGUUCACCAUACGAAUCACCUGCUGUUGCAGGAAUAUAAAAAGUUGAUGAUAACAACAUAAGAGAUAUAACACAAAUCUCUUAAUAAUUUGCCUUUUGUAAUACCGAUGGAUGCUUAGUGAACAAGGCAUGAAAUGUUUCCCCAGCUAUGUUUAGGAGUUUCCUGAGGAAGGAUUUUUAUUUUGCGAUAACUCUAAUUGGUUAUAUCCUCUAUUGUCUUUGAUUCAGAAACACCACAGAUUUCUUAGGCUUUUUUCCAGUUUUGGAAUACAGUGUUUUGUAUCAUUUAAUCCUUUGUGGACUGAUGGCUGUGAAGGCAGAAGGGGUGAGAAGGACUUGGAGUAGAUGUUUGAAAGACUCAUCAGACUGAAGACUGCAAGUGUGAAGGAUGAGCACUUACAAUCUAUGAGUCAUACUCAUCUUUUGUUCUUGCCUCAUUUAAAUCAGUUUUCAGGCCACCCACAGCUCUUUAAUAAGGGUUAGCAGAAGUAGUCAAUAAUUAACUUAAAGAAGAUCAGUUAGAGAAAAAUAAGGACACAGAUUACACCCAUAAACAUGUGGCUCAGGUGUAAAACUUGCAUUUUUUUUCUAUCUUGCCAAAAACAAGCUGUGUACAAGAGAUUUGAUUAUAAACCCAUCAACUCAGUAGCUGAUGCUGUACAUAAUAAGAAGUGAUGAAGUGUGACGGCAGCAUAUCUGGUACAUUAUCAUAGUAAUUUGUAGACACACUGGCUGGAGAAAUGCUUUGAGUUACAAGGCUGCCAUAUCUGAGUGAGGAAACGAGCUGUGAGAGUGUUUCAGGGUGAUUAGGGCUUUUGGAAAUCACUGCCUUUGCAAGGCUGCACAACAUGCUCUUCAACAGCAUGAUCGUGGAUCUACACCACCAUGAGCAAACUAGCACCUGUCAUAACUAUUAAUUUUCUUUCUUUCUUUCUUGCUGAACAGAAAUAAAUGUGAUUAAGUAUGUACUUCAAGAUUACUUUGCCCAAAAUGUACUGCAGUGAAUACAGUAAAAGAUUUAGAACAUAACAAAUGAAAAAAACAUUUCAUUAUCUUAAAAUUACAGUCCUUUUCUUCUAGCUCCAUUUUGCCCCUUGAAUUUCAAAGUUCUGAGGAAAAGUAGGAAUGUAAGAUUAUCCAACAAUUCCCUGAGAAAACAUUUCACUCUUUAUUAUUGCAUGUUAAAUGUCUGUGACUGAAACAAGUCUAAUGGAAGUGAAGCUUGGCCAGUUGUCAUUCCAAAUCUAGGUCAGAAAUUAAAGAUCAAACAAGGUAUAAAGAUGGCAUAUUAUCCAGCUGGUUUUGUACCUUCUUAUUUAACCUUACAUUUUGCAAGAUGUCUGGAGCAUGCUGUUGUCUCUUCAUUGCAAAGCUGCCAAUUUCUAGGCAGAGUUGCCCCAAGUUUUUUGUCUGUAUGUCUCUACAACAUGGUACAAUAAAAUAUUACCAAGAGAA